AUUGAACGCUAGCGGCAGGCCUAACACAUGCAAGUCGAACGAGUGGCGGACGGGUAAGUAAUGUCUGGGAAAAUGCCCGAUGUAGGGGGAUAACUCCUGGAAACGGUAGCUAAUACCGCAUACAAUCCGAUGUGCCCAGAUGGGAUUAGCUAGUUGGUGGGGUAAUGGCGCACCUAGGCGACUAUCCCUAGCUGGUCUGAGAGGAUGACCAGCCAGCCUGGAACUUAUACACGGCCCAGACUCCAUAGGGAGGCAGCAGUGGGGAAUAUUGGACAAUGGGCGCAAGCCUGAUGCAGCCAUGCCGCGUGUAUGAGGAAGGCCUUCGGGUGGUAAAGUACUUUCAUCAAGGAGGCGUUACUCGCAUAAGAAGCACCGGCUAACUCCGUGCCAGCAGCCGCGGUAAUUC
rnacentral:rRNA from 1 species